GGACCUGUAACUCAGUUGGUUAGAGUAGCCGGCUCAUAACCGGCUUGUCCAAGGUUCGAAUCCUUGCAGGUCCA
rnacentral:tRNA from 1 species